CCAAGACGAUUUCUUGCUCUACCUGGACCCCCCACUUCUGCCAGCCGGCCGUGGACACCUCCCGCGAGGGCUUCCCGCUGCAGUCCUUCCACUGCGGAACCCCCCGGAAAAAUGGCUUUCGGGAAGAGGGAUCCCAGUUGCACCAUCGGAUUUUACGCCGGGGGGAGCCCGGCCUGGAGGAGCUCUGCGCCGACCUGGCCCGGGUGCUGGCCCCCCCCACGGCGCCGGAGCGAUACCCCAUUUUCACGCUGGCGGAGGGGCAAGCGCCGGAUCAGGGGCUCGUCCCCCCCCCGCCGCCACCACCACCGCUGCCCCCCCCCAGAAAAACCCCCCACCCCCCAAAAAAAAUCCAUCACCGACGAAUUCGUUUUCCUCUGACCCCACCCCGGGACACCCCCCCCCCCCCACCGAAAUACACU